UACGUAGGGUGCAAGCGUUGUCCGGAAUUAUUGGGCGUAAAGAGCUCGUAGGCGGUCUGUCGCGUCUCUGUGAAAAUCAGGGCUCAACCCCUGGACCUGCAGUGGGUACGGGGCAGACUAGAGUGCGGUAGGGGGAGAUCGGAAUUCCUGGUGUAGCGGUGAAAAUGCGCAGAUAUCAGGAGGAACACCGGUGGCGAAAGGCGGG
rnacentral:rRNA from 1 species